UGAUAGGCCGGGUGUGUAAGCGCAGCGAUGCGUUGAGCUAACCGGUACUAAUGACCCGUGAGGCUUAACCUU
rnacentral:rRNA from 1 species